rnacentral:pre_miRNA from 1 species
UAGGUACUCCCUCCGUUUCGAAUUACUCGUCGUAGAAAUGAAUGUAUUUAGAUGUAUUUUAGUUCUACAUAUAUUUAUUUCUGCGACGAGUAAUUUGGAACUGAUGGAGUAAGUA